CCAAUGUUAAAGUGCCUAGGGUAGCACAAGGGUUAACGUGAUAUGUGCGCCGAAGACGUGAUAUAAAAGUAAUACAUCGGUUGUACAUAUGUGAAAAAUCCGUUACACGUACGUGGAAGGGUUGUGGAAAGCCAAAAAAAUUUCCACAAAAUUUGCAUAAUAAUUGCAUAUAACCUACACUAAAUACAUGUUAACUGUCUACUUCUCAACCAACCCAAUAAUUUGAAAAAGCAGGAACCAAAUUCACAGAAAGACGCGUCGGCUGAAACUCUUAACGGACAUCUGCGCACAUUGACGAAUGACAAACACAAGAAACACUUCAAUUAUGUAGAUCACACAUCAAUCAUGAUAGACCGAAGUUUCGUAUGUGGAAAAGACGCACAAUAUAGGUAGUGGUUGUGUGACACGGCCUUUAGCUUAGGAGAGCUAAAGCUACGGACACUAACGGCAUGUGACGCGCGUUCAAGAACGUGCACUAGUGCGUCACAUGCCCAUGGUCACACUGGACAAGCAGGGAGGUACUUCGUCUUCUAUGUCGACUGUACUAGUGCACGUGUGUUACCUACAGUUGGAAGAGGCUUGGUGCAAAAUGUCGAAGCGGUGUAAAUCACAUCAGUUUUUCUCCAGAGUUUUUACUUCCAGUCGGGCAUAAAUCGCAAUUAUUAAUUUACCCUCCAUGAUCAAUUGUCAAACGGUUGGUACUUACGUUAAAUAGAGAGGACAUCAUUCACAUCUCACUACCAAAUCUGAGUUCAUGAUUGGUCAAAGUUUAACUUUCAACAGCAGCGGUUUUUGUACGUGGAGCCCGACAAUGGUCUUAAGAGUAUGCAUAGCUACACCCCAAAACUGCAUUAACACAUUUUUACGUAGACUUUUCCUGAGAAGUGGCGACUUGAUUGUGUGUAGUCGAGGACGAUGUGAACAUCGUGUAAAACAUGGGAAUUUCACAUCUAAUAAAGAAACCCAAAGUACAAACAAAAAACCUGAAGUGAACGAAUACCUUAAAUCUAAAGAAAUGUGCAAAAUACAAUUUAAAAAAAGGAGAAAAAUGAACUAAAUUCAAAUAAACAACACAAAAACCAUAAAUAUAAAUGUAUGACCUCGUGUAACUUUUAACAAAAAAGCUACAAAUAUCUCUAAAAUAAUUGUAUCCGACUAAGUUUUUCACAUUUUUGGUGCUAAAAAGUGCUAGAAAAUAAUCAAUUUCAAUGGCUGUAAACUAGUAUUAUCACCAAUGUAUUUCAUAGAUUUUAUCAUAGACCCAACACAUGAAAGUCACAGAGUAGCUAUGGUCCAGUUUUUAUUCCUGAUGUCAGAUGAAACUUGAACUGUAAAAGGCGUAACCUGACCAUCUGCCCAGAUCACUCAAUAACAGCCUUCACUUCCACUUUUGUACCUCCAUCCAUUCUUUACCCUUCCUUCUCCUUCUGUUGGAUUAUCCCCCCUAAUACCCAACCUAAACAGAGGCUUAGAGGCUGGCGACUGUAGAUGGAGAAGCGGGGCUUAGCUGCGGCUGAAUCUGAUGCCUUUGGAGCCAGACGAGAGAUGCCGAGAAGCCAGGGUAACACUAGAUCUGGGUUGAUCUUGCGAAAGAAGUACUCUCCUCCCGGAUGUCUACCACCAAAACCCAGGGUUGUAGAGCUGUCCUCAGAGGACUCCUCCUCCAGCAGCGGAUCCUCUAUUUUUGGUCUCAUCAUACCAAUAUAUUUAGUUUGGCAUGAUGUGUGUGCUGGGCGUUCGGUGGUGGAGGUUGAGGACGACCACGCUCAGGAUGACAGAGAAUGUGACGAGGAUCAUGGUGAACAUGACGUAGUUGACGAUGAUGGG